ACGGAAGGCAGCAGUAAGGAAUCUUGCACAAUGGGGGAAACCCUGAUGCAGCAACGCCGCGUGAACGAAGAAGGCCUUCGGGUUGUAAAGUUCUGAUCUUGGGGAAGAAGGAAGUGACGGUACCCAAGGAGAAAGCCCCGGCUAACUACGUGCCAGCAGCCGCGGUAAUACGUAGGGGGCAAGCGUUAUCCGGAAUUAUUGGGCGUAAAGAGUGCGUAGGUGGUUACCUAAGCGCAAGUUUUAAACUUGGGGCUCAACCCCAUUCUGGCUUGCGAACUGGGCUACUUGAGUGCAGGAGGGGAAAGCGGAAUUCCUAGUGUAGCGGUGAAAUGCGUAGAUAUUAGGAAGAACACCGGUGGCGAAGGCGGCUUUCUGGACUGUAACUGACACUGAGGCACGAAAGCGUGGGGAGCAAACAGGAUUAGAUACCCUGGUA
rnacentral:rRNA from 1 species